UCUUGGUCAGGUGCAACAUUCCAGGGAUGUGGGUGUGGGGCUGCUUGGAGUGACUGCCAGCUCCCCAGAAAUGGUGCUGGUGGCAGUGCAGGGACACUCCCUGUGAGCUGGUGACAUGGCUGCAAUGUGUACAGAGGCAUGACAAGGAACAAGCAGUCAAGAGUGGUGUUGCUCUGUGUGUGUCCCUUCCAGAGGGAGGGAGCUACAGGUCUAAAGCUUCCAACGAACAAAAGCCGCUGCUGGAGGUAGUGUAAAAAAAUGUGAGGAUUUUUUAAGUCACCAAUGCCAUAUAUCCUUGGCUAAAGACCUGAGAAAACAGAGUAGGCACAGUUGUCCAGGAGAUUCAACAGCACAUUCUCAAACUUCCACUGGGGAAUUCUAUUGCUUAGUUUCCUAAUUGCACAGAAUAAAAUAACAACAGUUGUUUUGCUUUCUCCUCAGCCGAUUUUGGCCUCCCUACUCAGCUCACCCCUUAGAAGAAUACACGGAGAUUGUUAGCAGGGACUGCUUGGUGGAUGGCGCCUGAAGUGGUGACACGUGAACCAUAUGGCCCCAAAGUGGACAUAUGGUCUUUUGGAAUUAUGGGAAUUGAAAUGGUGGAACAAGAACCUUUUUACUGGAACCAGAGUCCUACCUCGGUAAGGAGCAAAUCCUCACUGAUCCCGCUGUCUUUCUCACCUGUCCCAUGUUCUGUGUGCCAUUGGACAAAAUCCCAUUGCCAUCUGCUGGCAUUACUUCCACAACGGUGCCCUUUUAAAAAUGUCCCUGCAACACAUCAGCAUCUGCUGUAGUUUUGGUUGCAUGAGUGGGGGAAUUCAAGCCUUACCACAUGCAAACAAACUCCAUUCUCAGGCAACACUUGCCUUUGGGUAAUAAGUGGUUCCAGUUCUUUUGUCUGUGUAGAUGGCCCCAAUAACAUGAAACAAGAAUCUUAGAACUACUCUUAUCCUUCCAGAAAUGAAGGAAGAAAACCCAAACCAAACAGAGUUUCUAAAACUGUUGUUUUCAGAGAGGGACUGCAUCCCCUGUGCAGUUUCUUCUUGCUGGGAAGGUUGCCUGAAACCUGGGCAGGAGGGUGUAGAGACCACAGAGUCUCUUCUGCUUCUUUGCAGUGCUGCUGAAACACUCAGUGACCAUGUUUCUCUCACAGUUCAAGCCACAUUCUCCAUGUCACCAAGCCAGCAGCUGGUGAUGUGGAGAGCCUGCCAAAACCUCCCAGCGUUUCCUGGCACUUUCUGGGAUGGGCCUACCAUUAAUGCAUUGACUUGAGUAUCCAAAUGAGCAGAGAGUGACCAUAGGGGUGGCACCUCUCCUUCUUCUGACCAUGAAAAGCUUUUCUUUUGCUGCAUAAGGGAAGCUGAAAUUUUCCGACUGCUGAGCGACAGAGCUGCAGGUGUUUCCUGUGCGUCCAAGCAGGCAUUUUCAUCCCAACACAUUUCUGCAGGCAUCUUAAUGUGUCUGUGUGGAAUAUGAGAUUGUAGGUGUUAGUUGCCUUACCUGGGGAUUGACUGAUGAAUUUCCUUUCUUUCCUUCCAAUUACCAUUGUUUCAAGAACAGGAGAAAAAUCUUGAUGGGUUUUGUUCUAUGGCAGCUGUGCUUAAGGGACCAACAAGCACUGCAGUGAUGCCUUUCAUAUACUAAUCCUUGGAAUUAGUAUAGCAAAGUCCCUCUUCCAAAAAGCCUGUCAAGCAGGUGUGAAUCCUCAGAGAAGCAGAUGUGCUUUUGUUGAUGUACUUCCCACUGAGUAGGUCAAUGAAAUCAGCAGCCAUGGCAAGAUCUGAGGGAUGUUGGAAAAGCUGUGGCUGCGUUGGGGUUUGGGUUUUUUGUAGAUGAAGGAAAGGCAUCUCUGGGUCUCUGCCAGGGCAAAAACUGCCACUGAAGAACAGGGGUUAAACAGUGGGACCUGGGAGAGCAGUUACAGAUGUGAAAGCAGCAGGUGGAGCCUCGUGUUUCCGUUUUCUCCAGGCUAAAUUCAUGAUAGCCUCAACAGGAACCCCGCAGCUGCUGCAUCCCAAGCUCCUCUCAGCUUGGCUGCGUGACUUCCUGAGCUGCUGCCUGCAGACAGACGAGGAGCAGCGCUGGUCUGCCAAGGAGCUCCUGCAGCAUCCAUUUGUAACAUCCUCCAAACCAGCCCCCAUCCUGGCACCACUCACCAUUUCAUCGAAGAAGAAGAAAAAGAAGUAUUAGGAGACAAGAAUUUAACAAUAAUUUGAAGAUGUUAUCUUCAUAAGAAAUUUAGAUUAGAAAUGUAGAGUAGGAUUGUAGAGUAGGAUUGUUGAAGAGUUUUGUAGAAUAGGAUUGUAGAUUGGAUUGGAUUUAAAUAAAGUUUCUGGAACAUCAACUCA